rnacentral:rRNA from 1 species
UACGUAGGGACCGAGCGUUGUCCGGAAUCAUUGGGCGUAAAGAGCGUGUAGGCGGCCUUUUAAGUCCUGCGUGAAAUCCUGCGGCUCAACCGCAGACGGUCGUGGGAAACUGGAAGGCUAGAGUGCGGGAGAGGAGAGUGGAAUUCCCGGUGUAGCGGUGAAAUGCGUAGAUAUCUGGAGGAACACCGAUGGCGAAGGCAGCCUUCUGGGCCACAACUGACGCUGAGGUACGAAAGCGUGGUAGCAAACAGG